rnacentral:tmRNA from 1 species
GGGGCUGAUUAUGGAUUUGACAGAAUAUGUAACGCUUUAGGAGCAUGCCGAGGGGCGGUUGGCCUCGUUAAAAGCCGUAAAAAAUAGAUGCAAACGAUAAUAACUUUGCACCUGCUGCAUUAGCCGCUUAAUCAGCUUAAUACACUGAAGGUGCCCUCUCUCUCACUAGCCCUUUCUCUUAGGGUGAGAAAAUAGAGGGGUCAAACUUAUAAGAGAUCGCACAUAGGCUAUGCUUAAAGCUAAAGUGUUAAAUUUUAUCAGGCUAGUUUUUAGUGGCGUGUUCGUUCGCAACUAAACAAUGAAUCAAAUAACCGGACUAAGCAUGUAGCGCUGACAGGCAGAGCAAUUCUGGACGCGGGUUCAAAUCCCGCCAGCUCCACCA